GUUCUGAUAGAUUGGAUACUAAGGUGGUUAUAAUCUGAUUGGUAUUGGAAAGAAAUCCUUAUGCACAAUUCUUUAGAAACUUAAAGGAUAUCGAUGACUUCAUAGAUUAUGGGAUUGUAUCAUGUUCUGAUUCUGGCUUGGAUUAGCAUGUAUCACAGAGCUUUCCUUCACAGCCAUGUAUGCUUUGGUCAUUUAUGAGUUUCUGAAAGAAUUUACCAUUGCCACAAAGGAACGGAACGGCAACAUACCAAUGCAUCAUUUUUGUUGAUCAACAGUAUGAGGGGUUGCGAUUAUUCUUCUAUGUUUUGUGUGAUGUGGAAAUGCAGUGCGUGUGAAGCAAAAGUGUCGUUAUUACGAAGAUGAUGAUGAUGGCCAUUGAACUGGGAAUGAUGGAGAACCAACCUCAUACAAAAGAGAUUGGUUUAAGAAUAUUGCUUUGCUUUGGAGAUUGGUGUCUAAAUUUUGUCUUCCCUUUUGAAGCAAAUGUUAAUUAGUUGAACUAUAUUUAUUGAAAA